AAAGAAGAAAUAGUGGUGGCCCCUAUUACAAAUUUGCUUUAUUUUCAUCACUAAAGUGAUGAAACUAAAGCAAAUUUGAAUAUCCGUUUUUAUUGAGUUUCCAUUCACAAUAAAAAUUUCAAAAAUGAUUCAGCUAUUGAUCCAAACGCCUUUUUACAUGAAACUAAAAGAGUCAAUUGAGAAAAUGUUGCUUGCUGAUAAAGAUGUUAAUUUAGCCCAAUGGGCUCGCAUCUUAGUCCAAAAUCAUUGGCCUGAAAACAUAAACACUCAGGUGACAUUUGGAGAAACUGAAAUCAGAAACCUGUCAUUAAGACUACAGUUAAAUAAAAGAGAAAUGAUUCGUUGAUUUUGUGAAUACCUUGCAGAACAAAUAUAUCCUGAAAAUUUAGUUUAUUUAGCACACACUCUACGUACUAUCCCCAUUUCCUCAAGUAAAUGCGAAUGAGAGUUUUCACAGAUGAGUCUAAUCAUCACACAAACAAGGGCUUCAUUAAUGACAAAAACAGUUUCAAUGUUGUUAUUCAUAAAAUUAGUGAAACCACCGCUAACAAGCUUUGAUCCUUCAAAGUACGUUGAUUCGUGGUUACUUAGCGGAAGGCAUUCAGCAUUAGACACUAAGAGCAAGGAAAGGAGAUAAGAGGAUAUGUACAACGAAAAUUUGAAAAAACUAUGGGAUUUGUUAUAGAAGUUUAUAGUUUUGUAAAGUUUGUAUUUUAUAUACAGUGACAUGACCCAUCACUCUACUCAUCCCCUACCCAAAAAAAAACUGUCAUUAUUUAAAAAAAAGCUUCAUUUAUUGGAAAAUGGUUUCUUAUAUUUGUUCCCGCCUUUAUGGGUAUGAUAUGCAGGGGAGCCUACCAAAGGUUAUAUAUAUAAAAUUUAUUCACAAAUUAAAUUACUGAUUUCUGCCUUAUUUUUGAAAUAUAAAGGAAAAUACAUAUGUUUUGCAGUUUAUGACGUAUAAUUCAUUGUUAGAUGCUAUACAGACAUACGAAGAAGAAAUGAUUACAAAGUAUCGUGUCGCAAAGGAAUCAAAAGAUUUUUCAAAAGAUGAUAAUUCUUCAAACGACUGCGACUUCAGAAAUCUCACGUUAAUUCGUACAUCUAGUUUCAAGGAAAAACAUUUAUAUAUUGGACAAUGGAUUUAACACUAGAAAACUUUUUUUAUAAUUGAUGACAUAUUUUUAUAAACAU